rnacentral:rRNA from 1 species
GACGGGGGGAUGCAAGUGUUAUCCGGAAUCACUGGGCGUAAAGCGUCUGUAGGUGGUCAAAUAAGUCAACUGUUAAAUCUUGAGGCUCAACCUCAAAAUCGCAGUCGAAACUAUUCGACUAGAGUAUAGUAGGGGUAAAGGGAAUUUCCAGUGGAGCGGUGAAAUGCGUAGAGAUUGGAAAGAACACCGAUGGCGAAGGCACUUUACUGGGCUAUUACUAACACUCAGAGACGAAAGCUAGGGUAGCAAAUGGG